CCAUGACCCGCCAUGGGGUACGCUGGGUGAACCCAACAUGUUCCAGCUCCCCAGACUCUCACAGGUCAUAGAAAAAGGCAGAGGCAUACGCUAGCUCAGUAAGGUGCCACAGGAGAGUGACAUUAGUUUGUUUGGGGCAGUGACUCCUCUGUGAGCGCAGGUUCCUACCAUCUCUUCCCAUCAUGGCUUGUUUCAACAUCCCUUCUUGCACAGCAGAGAAGAAGGACAAUUGCACAUGAAUACAGGAAGGAGAGCAGGCUAGGCUUGGGGGAAAGCCCAGAGUGUGCUAUGGGGAAUCAGUGAGGAUCUCAAAGAUUAUUCAGUGAGCACCCCCUAUUCGAAAGUAAUUCUCAGGUAGAGGAGAAUGAAUGGAGGGGCUGGACUUGUGCAGACAGACAAGUGAGAAGGCUGAUGAAAUGACCCAGGUCCAGGGUCACAAGCCAGACCCUGGCCUUUGGGGCUUGGCCUUUGGCUCAGGAAACAUGAUCACAUGCCUAUGUGCUGAAGCGUACAGGCUACCUCCUGGAUGGCCCCCCAAAUUUUCUCUGGGCA
rnacentral:lncRNA from 1 species